rnacentral:rRNA from 1 species
GAGUUUGAUCAUGGCUCAGGACGAACGCUGGCGGCGUGCUUAACACAUGCAAGUCAAGGGGGCCCAGCAAUGGGCAACCGGCGAACGGGUGCGUAACACGUGAGCAACCUACCGAAAUGCGGGGGAUAGCCGGCCUAACGGCCGAGUAAUACCGCAUACGCUCUUUAUGAGGCAUUUCAUGGAGAGGAAACCUACGGGGUAUUUCGAGGGGCUCGCGGCCUAUCAGCUAGUUGGCGAGGUAACGGCUCACCAAGGCAACGACGGGUAGCUGGUCUGAAAGGAUGGCCAGCCACAUUGGGACUGAGAUACGGCCCAGACUCCUACGGGAGGCAGCAGUGGGGAAUCUUGCGCAAUGGCCUAACGGCUGACGCAGCGACGCCGCGUGUGGGAUGAAGCUCUUCGGAGUGUAAACCACUGUUGCCCGGGACGAAUAGCUCGAUUAAUCGAGCCUGACGGUACCGGGUGAGGAAGCACCGGCUAACUCCGUGCCAGCAGCCGCGGUAAC